GCGUCAAUGCGUGAUAGGGUACUUUUUGUAGAACGGUCCGGCGAGCGAUUGUAUGCAGCAAGGUUAAGGACUUAAGGUCUGGAGCCGAAGCGAAAGCGAGUUUGAAAAGGGCGUUAAGUUGCAUAUAAUGGGCCCGAAACCGGGUGACCUACCCAUGGUCAGGUUGAAGUGGAAGUAAAAUUCCAUGGAGGACCGAACCGACCUCCGUUGAAAAGGCGGCGGAUGAACUGUGGGUAGCGGAGAAAUUCCAAUCGAACCCGGAGAUAGCUGGUUCUCCCCGAAAUAGUUUUAGGACUAGCCUCAAGUUAGAUACCUGGAGGUAAAGCACUGAAUAGCCUAGCGGCCGAGAGGUUAGCGAAGCUUAUCAAACUCAGAAUGCCAGAGUAUUGAUGCUUGGGAGUCAGACAGUGUCAGAUAAAUGUCAUUGUCAAAAGGGAAACAGCCCAGAUCUACAGCUAAGGUCCCAAAGUCAGGUUAAGUGGAAAACGAUGUGAAGAUACGCAGACAACCAGGAUGUUGGCUCAGAAGCAGCCACUCAUUCAAAGAGUGCGUAAUAGCUCACUGGUCGAGCGUCUUUGCGCGGAGAAUUUAACGGGGCUAAACCUGACACCGAAGCUUAGGCAAUGUACUUUGUACAUUGGGUAGGGGAGCGUUGUAUACGCGGAGAAACAGUAGCGUAAGCGGCUGUGGAGUGUAUAGAAGUGAGAAUGCCGGAAUGAGUAGCGCGAAUGCAGUGAGAAUCUGCAUGGCCGAAAGCCUCAGGUUUUUGGAGGAAGGUUCGUCCGCUCCAAGUUAGUCGGGAGCUAAGGUGAGGCCGGAAGGCGUAGCCGAUGCACAGACGGUAGAGAUUCCGUCACCACCAAAAGAGUUAAGCACAGGGACACAUUUGAAGUCUCAGAGCCGGGUGUUGGUUCCGGUAGAGAUCGAGGGAAGUUAGUACCGAAGUCUGAGAUGGAAGAUGGCGAGAAAAGCUGUGUGUAUUUCUGAGGUGCCCGUACCGCAAACCGACACAGGUAGGUAGGAAGAAGAUUCUAAGGCCAACGGGAGAAGGGUUGUUAAGGAACUCGGCAAAUUGACCCCGUAACUUCGGGAGAAGGGGUGCUCCAGAGAUGGAGCCGCAGAGAAUCGGCCCAAGCAACUGUUUACCAAAAACACAGGUUUGUGCUAAAUCGAAAGAUGACGUAUACGAGCUGACGCCUGCCCGGUGCUGGAAGGUUAAGAGGAGAUGUGCAAGCAUUGAAUCGAAGCCCCAGUGAACGGCGGCCGUAACUAUAACGGUCCUAAGGUAGCGAAAUUCCUUGUCAGGUAAGUUCUGACCCGCAUGAAAGGCGUAAUGAUUUGGGCACUGUCUCAACAGCCCGCCCGGCGAAAUUGUAGUACCGGUGAAGAUGCCGGUUACCCGCGACAAGACGGAAAGACCCCAUGGAGCUUUACUGUAGCCUAAUAUUGGGUUUCGAUGUUGCAUGCACAGGAUAGAUGGGACACUGGGAAACAAUCGCUUUGGCGGUUGCGGAGUGGCCGUUGGGAUACCAUCCUUGCGAUAUUGGAAUUCUAACCUGCGGCUCUGAAUCGAGUCGGGGGACAUUGUUAGGUGGGCAGUUUGACUGGGGCGGUCGCCUCCUAAAAAGUAACGGAGGCGUUCAAAGGUUCGCUCAGCUUGAACGGAAAUCAAGCAAAAGAGUGCAAACGCAGAAGCGAGCCUAACUGCGAGACUGACGGGUCGAGCAGUAACGAAAGUUGGAGUUAGUGAUCCGGUGGUAUGUGAGUGGAAAUGCCAUCGCUCAACGGAUAAAAGUUACCCUGGGGAUAACAGGCUGAUCUCCCCCAAGAGUCCACAUCGACGGGGAGGUUUGGCACCUCGAUGUCGGCUCAUCGCAUCCUGGGGCUGUAUUCGGUCCCAAGGGUUUGGCUGUUCGCCAAUUAAAGCGGUACGCGAGCUGGGUUCAGAACGUCGUGAGACAGUUCGGUCCCUAUCUGUCGUGGGCGCAGGAUAUUUGAUGGGAGCUGUCCCUAGUACGAGAGGACCGGGACGGACGUACCUCUGGCGCACCAGUUGUUCCGCCAGGAGCAUAGCUGGGCAACUACGUACGGAUCGGAUAAACGCUGAAAGCAUCUAAGCGUGAAGCCGACCCAAAGAUAAGAUAUCCCACUGAUUUGAUCAGGUAAGACCCCUUGAAGACUACAAGGUCGAUAGGCACGAUGUGUAAGUGGAGCGAUCCAUUCAGCAAGCGUGUACUAAUAGGUCGAGGGCUUGACCAC
rnacentral:rRNA from 1 species